UGGAAACACCGGUUUCCAUACAAUCAGCAAAGUUAAGUAACAUCAAGCCUGGUCAGUACCUAAAUGGGUGACUGCUUUGGAAUACCAGGUGCUGUAAG
rnacentral:rRNA from 1 species